CUGCUCAAUGAAACUUUUAAAUAGCUGCAGUAUCCUAACUGUACAAAGGUAGCAUAAUAACUUGAUUUCUAAUUAGAAAUCUUGAAUGAACGAUUAGAUGAAAUAUACUCUGUCUCAAUAAAAUUAACAAUUAAACUUAAAUUUUAAGUAAAAAUUCUUAAAUAAAAUUAAAAGACGAGAAGACCCUAUAAAAUUUUAUAAAUUUAUUAUUAUUAUCAGAUUAAUAAAUCUUUUAUUAAUUUUAAAUUUAUUUAAUUGGGGCAAUUUAAAAAUUAAAAAAACUUUUUUUAUUUAUCACAUUUAUUUAUGAUUAAAUAAUCCUAAAUUUUAGAUUAAAAAAAUAAAUUACUUUAGGGAUAACAGCGUAAUUUAAUUUCAAAACUCUUAUUUCAAAUAAAGAUUACGACCUCGAUGUUGAAUUAAGAUUAAUUAAGUUGCAAAAAAUUUAAAAUUUAAGUCUGUUCGACU
rnacentral:rRNA from 1 species